GCACAAGCGGUGGAUGAUGUGGUUUAAUUCGAUGCAACGCGAAAACCUUACCCACCUUGACAUGUACGGAACCUUUAGAGAUAGAGGGGUGCUCGAAAGAGAGCCGUAACACAGGUGCUGCAUGGCUGUCGUCAGCUCGUGUCGUGAGAUGUUGGGUUAAGUCCCGCAACGAGCGCAACCCUUGUCAUUAGUUGCUACAUUCAGUUGGGCACUCUAAUGAGACUGCCGGUGACAAGCCGGAGGAAGGUGGGGAUGACGUCAAGUCCUCAUGGCCCUUAUAGGUGGGGCUACACACGUCAUACAAUGGCUGGUACAAAGGGUUGCCAACCCGCGAGGGGGAGCCAAUCCCAUAAAGCCAGUCGUAGUCCGGAUCGUAGUCUGCAACUCGACUACGUGAAGUCGGAAUCGCUAGUAAUCGUGGAUCAGAAUGUCACGGUGAAUACGUUCCCGGGUCUU
rnacentral:rRNA from 1 species